rnacentral:rRNA from 1 species
AAUAUUGGACAAUGGGGGCAACCCUGAUCCAGCCAUGCCGCGAGUGUGAAGAAGGUCUUCGGAUUGUAAUGACAGUUAAGUUGGGAGGAAGGGCUUUAGGCUGUUACCCUGAAGUUUGGACGUUACCAACAGAAUAAGCACCGGCUAACUCUGUGCCAGCAGCCGCGGUAAUACAGAGGGUGCAAGCGUUAAUCGGAAUUACUGGGCGUAAAGCGCGCGUAGGUGGUUCAGUAAGAUGGGUGUGAAAUCCCCGGGCUUAACCUGGGAACUGCUUUCAUAACUGCUGAGCUAGAGUACGGUAGAGGGUAGUGGAAUUUCCUGUGUAGCGGUGAAAUGCGUAGAUAUAGGAAGGAACACCAGUGGCGAAGGCGACUACCUGGACUGAUACUGACACUGAGGUGCGAAAGCGUGGGGAGCAAACA